GGCAGCAUUUGCAAGUUUUGGAUCGGCCAUUGGUUCGAGGGAAGACCUGUGGCCAAGAUCGCCCAAUUUAUCUUCACGCUUGUCCCUCGGCGUCGCCACAAGACCCGUACCAUCCAGGAGGGCCUCCACCUACGCUCCUGGGUGCAGGAUAUCCAGGGGGCGCUGGGCCCAGCGGCCAUGGUCGAAUACAUUGACCUCUAGCGGCAACUGCACCACAUCAACCUCUCUGAUGCGCCUGAUACCUUAAGCUGGCGUUGUAUCACAUUGGCCAUGUACUUAGCUAAUUCGUGCUAUGAGACGCUCUUCUUUGACGCUUGCGAAUACCCACACUAA
rnacentral:rRNA from 1 species